rnacentral:rRNA from 1 species
UACGUAGGUGGCAAGCGUUGUCCGGAAUUAUUGGGCGUAAAGCGCGCGCAGGUGGUCCUUUAAGUCUGAUGUGAAAGCCCACGGCUCAAGCGUGGAGGGUCAUUGGACACUGGGGGACUUGAGUGCAGAAGAGGAAAGUGGAAUUCCAAGUGUAGCGGUGAAAUGCGCAGAGAUUUGGAGGAACACCAGUGGCGAAGGCGACUUUCUGGUCUGUAACUGACACUGAUGCGCGAAAGCGUGGGGAGCAAACAGG